AUGGACCGACUUGUGACCGUCAUUGGACAACAACAUAUAGGUCUGACGGUGGGAUUGAGUUUGAUGAUCAUCGUUGUGAUAAUCGUCCUCGCGGCGGUUGUUUACACUCCACCGGGCGCUACAACGCGCUGCUUGAGAAGAAACAGGAGCGAAGAACACCUCUCUCUGACUGCUAACAGAAUUUCAUGACUGCUAACAGAAACAUAUGAACUUUAUGGACCUCUUUAGAUGGUUUAUGAAAAACGACUUACAAACAAAUCACAGUUUCCAAAAUCAUGGAAAUGUAAUAAAAUGUCAGUGACAUUUCUAAAGUGAAUGUCUCUGUUCUGCAUGUAAGCAUUUUGAUGGCCUUCAUUAAGUGGAAUUCUAAUUUAAGGCCAUUUUUGUAAUCUUUUUGUACACAAGUUGUAUGAUGAUGUAGGGCGGGGAUCCUGCAGAGUUUAGCUCUCCAGCCCUAAUCAAACACACCUAAACCAGCUAAUCAAGGUCUUUAAACUUAAAACUUCAUGCAGGUGUAUUGAGGCAAGUUGGAGCUAAACUCUGCAGGACUCCGGCCCUCCAGGACCAAGUUUGGAGACCCCUGAUGUAGGGCCUACAUCUCUAAAUUUGUGUACCUGUCAUACAAAUGUAAAUCCUGUGCAGCAGUCUCUGUAAACUGAUGUUAAAAAUACUUAUUAGGAAUAACUGAAAAAGUCAUGGAAAUUCGUUGAGGAGAAAGCAAUGGGAACCAUUAUUACUGGAAGCAAACAUAAACUCGAUAAAGAUGUUUCGUCAGCUGAGCAAUCGGUAAACAACAGUACAGUCCAUUGCACGCAGUGUAACUUACUAUCCAUCACUAACCUCGCUUUACAUUCCUGUACAAAAAAUUAAAUAUGGUGCUACCCUGACUGGAUUAUUACACUCAAUAAACUAUCUUUUAAUCGCAGGAACUACAAAGCUACGAUAAGAUGUUCGUCAGCUGAGCAAUCGGUAAACAACAGUACAGUCCAUUGCACGCAGUGUACUUCUAUCCAUCACAACCUCGCUUUCAUUCCUGUACAAAAAUUAAAUAUGGUGCUACCCUGACUGGAUUAUUACACUCAAUAACUAUCUUUUAAUCGCAGGAACUACAAAGGCUGCAAUUCCAGUAGACAACCACUAGAUGGACUAGUGCUCUGUGGAAAGGAUGACAGUCUGCAUAAAUGCUUAUGUGCUACAGCAUAUUUUUAAUUUGAAGGCAGCUAUAAAUGCUGCUUUAACCUCUUAUUUGUUUUCAUGUGGUGGACGCUGCGAUUAUUGUGCUUUUCUUAGGUCAUUCUGACAUAUAAGAGUUCUCAACUGAUGUUAAACAGGAUUCAACUCUAUUAGGAUUGAUAUCACAAAAUGAUAAAUUGAGUGUUCAGUGGUACUCUAGUAGCAGCACUCAUUGAAGUGGUUCAGCUUUAUUUAGAUUUCACUUUUUUAAUGUAAUAUAUAUUUUUCUGUUGUGUGAAAGAGAGCAUUACAAUUCUGCAAAGCCUCGAGGAGCAGUUUUUCUUACUCCACCCUUCCAACCCCCCUUUCACUGUCACCGAGGGAAGCUAUCCGAGUCAAACUUUAAUUAAAAGACACCGCUGUUCAUCUUCCUUUCUUAAAAUCAGUAGUCAGUGUCCCCUUAUCUCAAUCUUAUCUUCCCUGCUCUCCCUGCUAAUCCACACAGGGAGACAGAGAUACGGUCACUGACAGAUGUAGACAGUGUCAUGCUGAUAACAAAAUGUGAGAUGUGUCCAUGUGGCAAAACAUUAUUUACAUGGAGAUAUCAUGAAGUAGGAAACAAUGCUUCUCCAUUUCCUCAUGUACUGUGCAUGGUAUGUGAUUUUAACUGUAUGGAAGAAAUAACCAAUAAGACGUUUGACCGCUGAAAGCAAUAAUGCUGUGAGAUGAAGCCAUUAAUCAAUGUCAAAACACCCACACCCAGCAAAAUUAUUUCCUUUUUACCCCUCUUUCCACCUUAUUGUGGUGUCUCAUUAAUCAAUAUGUUUUGUAUCUCCGGCUGAUUGCUUGUUUUCUCCGACAAAAUGAGUCUGUAUUGAUUAUAUAUAGGCUGUGUUUUUUCCCCACAAGCUCUCUAAAACACCAGCAUGUUACAUCAGCUGGGAUGAAAUAAGGGAUGGAGCUCAGAGUGGAUGGGGGUUUUCAAUAAUCUGUAACCCAGGUAUUUUAAAGGAUUUGAUUAUUUUUUUCACUAUAUACACCACACCAGAGAUGCUAAUAUUCCGAGGAAAGUCUCGGCUGAAUUCGUUUGCAUUUGUCUAGUAUUUCUAAAUAAGAUAAAGAAAGCUGUGGAUAAAACAAUCAGCUCUGAUCAAACCCUUGUAUUUAGGCCCUGGAAAUGAAACCCUCCUCCAUACAUACACAUAGGACACAUGGGUGACGGGGCUCUCUCACCAGCUGCCGUCUGGCUGUGGAAAUCUUUACCCAUCUCAGCCAGGGGUUUCAAGAAUCCCACCAUUUUCAGCACACUGUUUAAAACUCCCUUUUCUAAAACUUUUUCUAUCUGUAUUUUUGUAUAUUGUUUUAGACAUUUGAAAAUAUUUCAUCAGCAAUAAAUAAAUUGAAUAAAUGAAUACUUUUUUAAUUAUUAAUUAAUUACCCCUUUAUUUGUGUGGCACACUGACAAAAAAGAAGAAUUAUUAAUGGUUAGUGGCAUUUGUUAAUUUUAUUAUUUUUAUAUGUAUUUUUGUAUAUUAUUUUAGAUAUUUGAGAUCAAUAUUUUAUCAGCAAAAAAUAAAUAAAUUCAUUUAAAAUAAAUUAACAGAUUCUUAUUGAUCCCUUUAUUUGUGCAGUGCAUUGACAAAAAAUUGUGUUAUUUUGUUAUUGUAUUAUUUUAUAUGUAUUAUGUAUAUUCUUUUUGAAAACAUUCUUUCAGCAGAAUGAAUGAAUGAAUAAAAUCACUUUAAUUAAGGUAAGCUAAAUUGUCGUUCAUCAACACCUUACGUCUAAAUUUGAAUGUCAAGCUUAUUUUUAAUUAACAGACAGUUUUAUUUUAAUUAUUUAUUUGUGUAAUUGCCAUUUUUUUUCUGUAGCCUUGGAACCCAGGAGACUGUGAAAGACUGGCAGCUUAUAAACAGCCUUCCUCUUAUUUGAGUGACACAAAUGUGUAGUGUUUGUAGUUGUCAUCA
rnacentral:lncRNA from 1 species